AUGAUUGCGAAUGGCUGCCUUCAGUGCUGGCUCCCUUAAGAAGAGCAAGUGCACGCUGGUGGCUUUCAAUCCAAUACACACUCUUGUGAACCUUUGGCCUCUUGCUAGCUUUGGCUGGUAGAGGAUUUUUACACACAUACUCGAAUGUAAUGAAAAACUAUUGUCGUGCGCAAGCACUAAUGUA
rnacentral:misc_RNA from 1 species